rnacentral:rRNA from 1 species
AUUGAACGCUGGCGGCAGGCCUAACACAUGCAAGUCGAGCGAGAGGCGGACGGGUGAGUAAUGUCUGGGAAACUGCCUGACGGAGGGGGAUAACUACUGGAAACGGUAGCUAAUACCGCAUACCAUCAGAUGUGCCCAGGUGGGAUAAGCUAGUGGGUGGGGUAACGGCUCACCUAGGCGACGAUCCCUAGCUGGUCUGAGAGGAGGACCAGCCACACUGGAACGGGGACACGGUCCAGACUCCUCCGGGGGGCAGCAGUGGGGAAUAUUGCACAAGGGGCGCAAGCCUGAUGCAGCCAUGCCGCGUGUGGGAAGAAGGCCUUCGGGUUUUAAAGCACUUUCAGCGGGGAGGCGUUACCCGCAGAAGAAGCACCGGCUAACUCCGUGCCAGCAGCCGCGGUAAUAC